CCUACGGGCGGCAGCAGUGGGGAAUAUUGCACAAUGGGGGAAACCCUGAUGCAGCGACGCCGCGUGUGUGAAGAAGUAAUUCGUUAUGUAAAGUUCUAUCAGCAGGGAAGAAAAUGACGGUACUUGUGUAAGAAGCCCCUGCUAACUACGUGCCAGCAGCCGCGGUAAUACGUAGGGGGCAAGCGUUAUCCGGAUUUACUGGGGGAAAAGGGAGUGUAGACGGCAGUGCAAGUCUGGAGUGAAAGGCGGGGGCUCAACCCCCGGACUGCUCUGGAGACUGUACGGCUGGAGUGCAGGAGAGGUGAGUGGAAUUCCUAGUGUAGCGGUGAAAUGCGUAGAUAUUAGGAGGAACACCAGUGGCGAAGGCGGCUUACUGGACUGUAACUGACGUUGAGGCUCGAAAGCGUGGGGAGCAAACAGGAUUAGAUACCCCUGUAGUC
rnacentral:rRNA from 1 species